rfam:Lysinibacillus sp. BF-4 contig00076, whole genome shotgun sequence.
GGUUAAGUUAUUAAGGGCGCACGGUGGAUGCCUUGGCACUAGGAGCCGAUGAAAGACGGUACUAACACCGAUAUGCUUCGGGGAGCUGUAAGUAAGCUUUGAUCCGGAGAUUUCUGAAUGGGGGAACCCACUGCCCGUAAUGGGGUAGUACGUUUGCGUGAAUACAUAGCGCAAUCGAGGCAGACUCAGGGAACUGAAACAUCUAAGUACCUGAAGGAAGAGAAAGAAAAUUCGAUUCCCUUAGUAGCGGCGAGCGAAACGGGAAGAGCCCAAACCAAGAAGCUUGCUUCUUGGGGUUGUAGGACAUUCUAUACGGAGUUACAAAAGUAUGAAGUAGGCGAAGCGACUUGGAAAGGUCCGCCAUAGCAGGUAAAAGCCCUGUAGUCGAAAGUUCAUACCCUCUUGAAUGUAUCCUGAGUACGGCGGAACACGUGAAAUUCCGUCGGAAUCCGGGAGGACCAUCUCCCAAGGCUAAAUACUCCCUAGUGACCGAUAGUGAACCAGUACCGUGAGGGAAAGGUGAAAAGCACCCCGGAAGGGGAGUGAAAUAGAUCCUGAAACCGUGUGCCUACAAGUAGUUAGAGCCCGUUAAUGGGUGAUAGCGUGCCUUUUGUAGAAUGAACCGGCGAGUUACGAUUACGUGCAAGGUUAAACUGAGAAAGUGGAGCCGCAGCGAAAGCGAGUCUGAAUAGGGCGAAAUAGUACGUAGUCGUAGACCCGAAACCAGGUGAUCUACCCAUGUCCAGGUUGAAGGUUAGGUAACACUGACUGGAGGACCGAACCCACGUAUGUUGAAAAAUGCGGGGAUGAGGUGUGGGUAGCGGAGAAAUUCCAAUCGAACCUGGAGAUAGCUGGUUCUCUCCGAAAUAGCUUUAGGGCUAGCCUCGCGGCAAGAAUCUUGGAGGUAGAGCACUGUUUGGACUAGGGGCCCAUCCCGGGUUACCGAAUUCAGACAAACUCCGAAUGCCAAUGAUUUAUCCGCGGGAGUCAGACUGCGAGUGAUAAGAUCCGUAGUCAAGAGGGAAACAGCCCAGACCACCAGCUAAGGUCCCCAAGUAAUUGUUAAGUGGAAAAGGAUGUGGCGUUGCAUAGACAACCAGGAUGUUGGCUCAGAAGCAGCCAUCAUUUAAAGAGUGCGUAAUAGCUCACUGGUCGAGUGACACUGCGCCGAAAAUGUAUCGGGGCUAAACAAUUCACCGAAGCUGUGGAUGCAUACCAUAGGGUAUGCGUGGUAGGAGAGCGUUCUAAAUGCGUAGAAGUCAGACCGUAAGGACUGUUGGAGCGUUUAGAAGUGAGAAUGCCGGUAUGAGUAGCGAAAGACGGGUGAGAAUCCCGUCCACCGAAUGACUAAGGUUUCCUGAGGAAGGCUCGUCCGCUCAGGGUUAGUCGGGACCUAAGCCGAGGCCGAUAGGCGUAGGCGAUGGACAACAGGUUGAAAUUCCUGUACCACCUCCCUGCCACUUGAGUGAUGGGGUGACGCAGAAGGAUAGGGUAAGCACGCUGUUGGUUAUGCGUGUCCAAGCAGUAAGGCGUGAGUGUAGGCAAAUCCGCACUCUGUAACGUUGAGCUGUGAUGGCGAGCUCGUAUGAGCGAAGUUCCUGAUUUCACACUGCCAAGAAAAGCCUCUAACGAGGCAGGAGGUGCCCGUACCGCAAACCGACACAGGUAGUCGAGGAGAGAAUCCUAAGGUGAGCGAGAGAACUCUCGUUAAGGAACUCGGCAAAAUGACCCCGUAACUUAGGGAUAAGGGGUGCUCUCGGAGGUUAACGCUUCUGAGAGCCGCAGUGAAUAGGCCCAGGCGACUGUUUAGCAAAAACACAGGUCUCUGCAAAACCGUAAGGUGACGUAUAGGGGCUGACGCCUGCCCGGUGCUGGAAGGUUAAGAGGAGUGGUUAGCGCAAGCGAAGCUGCGAAUUGAAGCCCCAGUAAACGGCGGCCGUAACUAUAACGGUCCUAAGGUAGCGAAAUUCCUUGUCGGGUAAGUUCCGACCCGCACGAAAGGCGUAACGAUCUGGGCACUGUCUCAACGAGAGACUCGGUGAAAUUAUAGUACCUGUGAAGAUGCAGGUUACCCGCGACAGGACGGAAAGACCCCGUGGAGCUUUACUGUAACUUGAUAUUGAAUUUCGGUGCAACC